rnacentral:rRNA from 1 species
UACGGAGGGAGCUAGCGUUGUUCGGAAAUACUGGGCGUAAAGCGCACGUAGGCGGCGCAGCAAGUCAGGGGUGAAAUCCCGGGGCUCAACCCCGGAACUGCCCUUGAAACUGCAGUGCUAGAAUUCUGGAGAGGCGAGUGGAAUUCCGAGUGUAGAGGUGAAAUUCGUAGAUAUUCGGAAGAACACCAGUGGCGAAGGCGACUCGCUGGACAGACAUUGACGCUGAGGUGCGAAAGCGUGGGAGCAACAGG